UGGGGAAUUUUGGACAAUGGGGGAAACCCUGAUCCAGCCAUCCCGCGUGUGCGAUGAAGGCCUUCGGGUUGUAAAGCACUUUUGGCAGGAAAGAAACGUCGCGGGUUAAUACCCCGCGAAACUGACGGUACCUGCAGAAUAAGCACCGGCUAACUACGUGCCAGCAGCCGCGGUAAUACGUAGGGUGCAAGCGUUAAUCGGAAUUACUGGGCGUAAAGCGUGCGCAGGCGGUUCGGAAAGAAAGAUGUGAAAUCCCAGAGCUUAACUUUGGAACUGCAUUUUUAACUACCGGGCUAGAGUGUGUCAGAGGGAGGUGGAAUUCCGCGUGUAGCAGUGAAAUGCGUAGAUAUGCGGAGGAACACCGAUGGCGAAGGCAGCCUCCUGGGAUAACACUGACGCUCAUGCACGAAGGCGUGGGGAGCAAACAGGAUUAGAUACCCUGGUAGUCCACGCCCUAAACGAUGUCAACUAGCUGUUGGGGCCUUCGGGCCUUGGUAGCGCAGCUAACGCGUGAAGUUGACCGCCUGGGGAGUACGGUCGC
rnacentral:rRNA from 1 species